GGGGCCGGGCGAGCUUGAUUGACGGCCCAGACCGCCGGGCUGGGAGAGGCGGCGACUGGGGAGUCUUAACGCCGCGGCGGCUGGCCCUGCGGGGCUCGGGCGGCACCUGGGUUCCCGUCUUCGCCGCAGCUUGUGCGCGCGAAGCGGGAGGGCUGGAGCUAGCUGCCCGGAGCCCGCGGAGCCUGGACGAGCGGUUCCGAGAGAGGCGGCACUUUGCGGGCCGUUGAUGACUCCCUCCCACCCAAAAUUGCCCUCUUGCUUCUCAAACUCCCAGCGGGUGGUCGGACCUGUGGGGGAGGGAGCGGCUCCUUUAAUGUGGUUUUGUUUUUGAAUACACACACACGCACACGCACACACACAGAGGCACACAUACACACACACACACGUUUGAUUCCAAGCAAGGUUGUCGGGGUUUUUUGUUUUUAAUUCAGAAGCGGCCCCUCCCUUGGUCGAGUCCGCCGCCCCCAUCCCUCCACCCGGUACUCGCCCUGAGCCCUGGGUUUGGAUCUCCGAGAGGGUGGCUGUAAGUUGGGUAGGCCUGGGCCCAGCCUCUGGCUCUAACAAGUCCUGCCUCCUACCCCCUUCUCGGCACCCAGCCUAGGUCCCUAGGUGAAGAUUGGGGGAAGGGGGGGCAGUGAAAAGCGAAGGUCGAGGCUGGUUGCAGAACUUCAGGUCCACUUGGAGGAAGUUACCAGGCAGAAAAAGGCAGACUCAGCCCUGGUUUGGCAGGAUUAAUUAGGAUCCUGGUCAUAAGGUAGAGAACUGUCUGGAGUAAAUAGUACAAUAAAAUCCAGCCACCCCACACCCCAUUGGGCAAGAAUAGACUGCGGCCCCAGGGAGUGGGAGGAGAAACUUGCAGGCUGGGACACAGCAAAUCAGUGUGUGGUGGGGUGCUAGAUCCCUAGUCUUCUGCUCCCACCAGGACUUAAUUCAUCUAUUCCUUGAAUUCUGCAGGAGAUGACACCUAUGUCUGAGCUAGAAGAACCUAAGCCAAUGGAUCUCAAUGGACAGAAGAGAUCUAAGGAACUGAACUGUCAAUCUCCUGUAAAUCACCCCCCAACUCUUCGGAGACAAGACCAGCCAGAGACUGGAGUGUUCAUUAGAUUUUAGUGCCAUCUUGUGGCAAUAUUUACAGAGUUUUUUUUAAACAUAUAUAUAUAUAUAUAUAAUUAUAUUUAAAUAUUUUAUAAAUAUUUUCUAUAUAUGAUUAUAUAAAAACUUAUCUAGCCAAAAAGCAUGCAUUUUAUGACUAUUUUUAUUUUAAGAUGUUUCACAGGAUGUAAAACCCCUAUU